GACGUAGGGUGCAAGCGUUGUCCGGAUUUACUGGGCGUAAAGAGCGCGUAGGCGGCUCGUUAAGUGAGAAGUGAAAGCUCUGGGCUCAACCCAGAAACCGCUUUUCAUACUGGCAAGCUGGAGUGAUGCAGAGGUGGAUAGAAUUCCCGGUGUAGCGGUGAAAUGCGUUGAUAUCGGGAGGAAUACCCGUGGCGAAGGCGGUCCACUGGGCAUCAACUGACGCUGAGGCGCGAAAGCGUGGGUAGCAAACAGGAUUAGAUACCCUGGUAGUCCACGCCCUAAACGAUGGAUGCUAGGCGUAGGAGGUAUCGACCCCUCCUGUGCCGCAGCUAACGCACUAAGCAUCCCGCCUGGGGACUACGGCCGCAAGGUUGAA
rnacentral:rRNA from 1 species